CACGUAGGGGGCAAGCGUUGUCCGGAUUUAUUGGGCGUAAAGAGCUCGUAGGUGGUUCGGUAAGUCGGGUGUGAAAACUCUGGGCUCAACCCAGAGACGCCACCCGAUACUGCCGUGACUUGAGUCUGGUAGGGGAGUGUGGAAUUCCUAGUGUAGCGGUGAAAUGCGCAGAUAUUAGGAAGAACACCCGUGGCGAAGGCGGUUCUCUGGGACGGUACUGACGCUGAGGAGCGAAAGCGUGGGGAGCGAACAGG
rnacentral:rRNA from 1 species